GGUGCUAUACAUGCAGUCGAGCGAACGGAUUAAGAGCUUGCUCUUAUAGAAGUUAGCGGCGGACGGGUGAGUAACACGUGGGUAACCUGCCCAUAAGACUGGGAUAACUCCGGGAAACCGGGGCUAAUACCGGAUAACAUCUUGCACCGCAUGGUGCAAGAUUGAAAGGCGGCUUCGGCUGUCACUUAUGGAUGGACCCGCGUCGCAUUAGCUAGUUGGUGAGGUAACGGCUCACCAAGGCGACGAUGCGUAGCCGACCUGAGAGGGUGAUCGGCCACACUGGGACUGAGACACGGCCCAGACUCCUACGGGAGGCAGCAGUAGGGAAUCUUCCGCAAUGGACGAAAGUCUGACGGAGCAACGCCGCGUGAGCAAUGAAGGCCUUCGGGUCGUAAAGCUCUGUUGUUGGGGAAAAACAAGUAUGAGUUGAAUAAGCUCGUGCCUUGACGGGCCCUAACCGGAAAAGCCACGCCUAAAUACGUGCCACCAUCUGCGGGAAUACCAAAGGGGGGAAGCGUUAUCCGGAAUUUUUGGGCGUUAAGCCGGAGUAGACGGUUUCUUAAGUCUGAUGGGAAGGCCCCCGGCUCUUCCGUGGAGGUUCAUUGUUACCUGCGAGAUCUUGAGUGC
rnacentral:rRNA from 1 species